CGAUGGAGGGGGAUAACUACUGGAAACGGUAGCUAAUACCGCAUAACGUCGCAAGACCAAGAGGGGGACCUUCGGGCCUCUUGCCAUCGGAUGUGCCCAGAUGGGAUUAGCUAGUAGGUGGGGUAACGGCUCACCUAGGCGACGAUCCCUAGCUGGUCUGAGAGGAUGACCAGCCACACUGGAACUGAGACACGGUCCAG
rnacentral:rRNA from 1 species